UCCCUUUGAUUCAUUUUUUUUUUUUUUGUAGGCAUCUUAAAAAAUAAUUUGACAUAUGUAUUUUAUAAUAUUAAUUAAUGUUAUUUUAUCAUUUCAAUUUAUUUUUAUAUUUAUUGAGUGAGAAUAAAAUUAAUAAUUAAUUAUAUUUUAAUUUUUAGGGAAAAUAAUUGUUUUAGUCCCUGUGUUAUUGCCUUAUUUUGGUUUUGAUCCCUGUGAUAUCUUACUUCCCAGGUUUAACCUUUAAUUAAUUAUAAUCAAUUAUUUUAGUCCUUCUACUUAUGGUGAUAACCAAUACAAACAGAUUUGUUAUUUC
rnacentral:lncRNA from 1 species